UCCUUGGUGGCUCAGACAGUAAAGCAUCUGCCUGUAAUGCAGGAGACCCGGGUUUGAUCCCUGGUUGGGGAA
rnacentral:tRNA from 1 species